rnacentral:rRNA from 1 species
UACGGAGGGUGCAAGCGUUGCUCGGAAUUAUUGGGCGUAAAGGGUAGGUAGGUGGUCUCAUUUGUCUAGGGUGAAAGCCUUGAGCUUAACUCAAGAAGUGCCCUGGAAACUGUGAGACUCGAGUCCUGGAGAGGGUCGUGGAAUUCCCGGUGUAGCGGUGAAAUGCGUAGAGAUCGGGAGGAACACCAGAGGCGAAGGCGGCGACCUGGACAGGCACUGACACUCAACUACGAAAGCGUGGGGAGCAAACAGG